rnacentral:lncRNA from 1 species
CUUCAGCACCAAGUAGGCUAUCAUGGAGGGAAUAGCUCUUAGCCUGGUGGUGAACACAGAGGUCAAUGUGGAAAACAGCCUCAGAAAGCCCCUUUUGAAAGGCAAACAGUAGGUGGAUGUGUUAUGCCUUUGACAUCUCCAGUCAACAGUAUAUAGACAUGGCAUUUCUCAGUGUUCAGAGGAAGCCCUUGGGGUAGAUUUUCAGCUAUUGGCAAUUGGAAGUUCUUCAAUUCAUGCAGAAAUAUUAGGUGCUAAAAGUAUUUGUGGAACUGCAAGGUGACUCCACAAGUACUUGCCUCACUGGCCAUCAGGCAGAGGGGAAGGUAGAGAUGUGUAUCAACCCUUAUUAACUCUUAGAAGUAGCCACUUCUGCCCAAAUGCCCCUAAUCAAAGAAAGUCACCACGUAGUUUCUAAAUUCAAUGGAUGCAGAUAUAUAUUCUUCUCAAGGGGCAAGGCAUAUGCAUGAAGACAACUAAACUGAAAUAUUUGAACUUGACUAAUACACUUUGUUAUACUUCUCCAAAGAUUUUAAUAUUCUCACAAUCACAUUAAAAGUGCUGGCCAAUCUUUGUAAAGGGAAACUUUAUUGGAAUAUAAGUCCAGUUUUGUGAAUUUCAUCCUUUUGGUGGUGGUCUGUAUGUUCACAAUCAUCACCAUCUGCUUCCACAUUAUCAUCACAAACUACAUAUCAAACUCAUGGUCACUUCCUGUUUCUUUUUUACGGCAUCCGUUAGCAAACAGUAAUGUACUUCCUGUCUCUAUUACUUGCCCAUUCUACAGAUUUCAAACCAGCUGCCUCAUACCAUGUAUGGUCUUUGUGGUUGACUUUUUAUUUUGUUACUUACUGUAACCUCUUCAGGUUUCACUCACGAUGUAAUGAGUAUCAGAACUUUAUUGCUUUUUAUUGGUGCACAAUGCUUCCUUGUAAGUUUAUCCACAGUUUAUCCAUUCAUCUGUCCAUGGGAAUGUUGAAUUGGUUCCAUUUGAAGUUUUUUUAAAUAUACUUCUAUAGACAUUUGUAUCAAGGUUUUAGGUAGACUUAGAUUUUCAGUUUUUCAAGCAUGUACCUAUGAAUAGAAUCGCUGCUAAUAUAUUAAACUUUAGAAUAAACAUAUUGAAAAACUGACAAAACAGUUAUAUGACUCUGUCAUUUUACAUUCCCAGCUAUAGCAUAGGACAAUCCCAUUUUUUCACACCAUUUCCAACACUUGUCAUGUCUUUUUAUUGUAGUCAUACUGUUGAGUAUAAAGUAAUAUCUCAUUGUGAUUUAAGUAUGUGUUUUCCUUAGUGUCUAAUAAUGUUGGCUAUAAUUUUAUGAGUUUAUAAAACAUGUGUCUAGUUUCCUUGGAGAAAUAGCUGUGCUGUUUGCUCUUCCCAUUUUAAUCAGGUUAUAUUUUCCACUUUAUUACUUAGUGGUUGGAUUUUAGUGUAUUUCUACAUGUAUAGAUUAUGGGUAACUUUAUCAGAUUAAGAAUUUGCAGGUAAUUUUUGUUUAUAAUCUGUGUGUUUAUUUUUUGUUUGUCUGCUUGUUUGUUUUGCUUUCUCAAUACUGUUCUUUGAAAUAUUUCUGUUUGUUUUGAUGAAGUCCAACUCACCUCUCUGUCUCUCCCUCUCUUUCCCUCUCCCCCACCCCCUCUCUCUCUGUGUUCUCUAUACCCUGUGUCCUCUAUACCCUAGUUUCUGAGACAGAUCCUCUUUGCUGAGCUUGCAGCUCAUUGAUUUCAGUGCACCAGAAAAAAAAAUCUGCUUAGAGCACUGGAUUUCAGAGGCAAGCCACCAUGCUGGCUUUGGUUGGGUGCUGGGGUCCAAACUCAGGUCCCCAUGCUUACAUGGUAGGCACUAACCCACUGAACCAUCUCCCUGGCACUUGUCUUUCUUUCAUUGCUUAUAUUUUUUGUGCCAUAUCUCAGAGAACACCCAGGAACACAACUGCGUGGGGAUAUACUCAUAUUUUCUUCAGAGUUCUGUGAUGCUAAAUCCUUUCCUACUGUUAGAUACCAUUGUAAUUUGGGAAUGUAAUUAGACCUUAUUCUUCUUUCUCAAACAAAAGGCCAACACACCUAUGUUGCUAGAGCCAAGGAAACUCUAUACUGUCAAGGACAUCAUAGUCAAAGGUGAUUCCUCACUAGUUGAGCUGCAUCCUAGAGAAACAUUUGAUUUUCCAUGUACCAUAGAAAUAUCCAGGAGAAAAAUAUCUACAAGGUUCUUUUUCUUCUCCCAAGUUUGUUAAAAUACUGAUAAGCCAAACCUGCUGGCCAUUGCACGACAAGUCUGAGGUUGUCUCCAACUCAAGUCCCUCACGUGUAAACUCGACUCUUUGAAGAACAAAGAAAUGUGAAACUUCUAGCUGUUCUCACCACAGAGCCAGUUCCCGAUCCAUGGACCAGUGAAGCUGAGCAGACAGCGUAGUGGAACACAGCAGUGAUAUUUUAAAAAAUGCAUCCAUGUCAUUAAAAGUGGCUUCAAGAACAUCCUUAGAGAAGAAAAAUAAAUUACUCCUAAUCCACAGCCCUAGCACAAUACAAGGCCUAAUUCUGUUUCUACAUUUUCCUUUUCAGUUCUUGUCUCUGUGCAGAAACAUAUUUACAUAAUUGCAAUCACAGUAAGUUUUCAUAUACAUCUUUUUUCACUUAGCAUUAUUUUUCAUAAACAAUCUUCAUGUUGCUAUGUAUUUUACAUACUUACCAUCUUUUUAUAACCUUUUUUUUUAUAAAAAAAUUAUACACGUCCCAGGAACAAAAUCUGAGAAAGAAACACAG